ACGCCGAGUGCAGACGAUUAUACCGGAUAGUUGAAGAAUAAAAGAUAAAUUAUGUUGUUGUCUACAACAAUAAUAAUACAUACAUUAAAUAUUUUUACUUGUGUAUAUACAACAAGAAAAAAAUAUAUGUAAAUUUUUUGUCAAACAAUAAAUAAUUGUUGUAACAAUUAAAGUUUAUACUUUUGUUUGCACUUCAAUAAAAACGAAGUUUAAUUAAUGUAAAUAUAAAAAGUGCAAAUUUGUGUGUAAAUUGUUAAAAAAAAAAAUCAAAAUCCAAUUGGAUUUUUUAGCUGCGACAGAAAAGUGUGAAAAGUGGUGGUUGUUCUGAAUUUCUGCAAAACAGAAAAGAAAAUAUGAUAUAAAAAUAAUUGUAUUUCGGUACAUGUAUAGUGAACAAAUAAUAUAAGAAAAUAAAUAAAAACACCCGUAUAAAAAAAUUGUCUAAAAUUAAGAUACUUUUUUCUUAAAUACUACGAGUCAUUGCUUUAAGAUUUCAAAUUUUAAAUCAUUAUAAACUGGAUUAAAUAAAAUUUUCUAAAAAUUAUCUCUACACGGUUUUAAAAAAAGCACCCGAUUGUAACGAUUUGAGCACUUGAAAUAUUGGAUACGUAACCCCUUCUCCGAAAAAAGACAGAAAAAAAAACUAAACGGAACGAAAGAAAUAAUUGCAAUUUGCAUAUUCAUCUGUUAACAUUUAGCAUUUUCAUAGUUGCUGCAGUUUAUAAUUUAAACCGAAAAAAUGCUUGAGUGCACAGCUGCAUAAAAGUUUAAAAAAAGCAACAACAACAAAAAAUUAAAGAAAAAUAAUCAUAAAUAAAAGAAAAACAACUACAAUAAACAAAUAAUAACAAAACACAUGUACUGGUAAGAAGUACAAUUGAAGAAAAAAAGCUAAAAAAAAAAACAAAAAAAGAGUACAACCACCAAGUAAAUGGUAUCUGGUAUUGUGUUUCUGUUUUUGUUGUUUUAUUGCUCUCAUUAUUAUUGUUAUUGUUGUGUUAACCCCAAAACUCCCCUUUUUAACAGACUACCAUACAACAAAGCCAAACUAAACAGAGAAUAAAAGCAAAAAACAAACUGUCUCACUUUACAAUAAUAAAUAGCAAGAGCCAAAACAACAACUUCAAAUACAAAAACACAAACAGAGUAGUUGUAAACCACCAGGCCAACAGCAGCUAACAGACACACCAGCAGCAGUCAUUCAUUAACAACUGCAGCAGAAUCACAAUCAGAAGCAGUUCUCCACAAUUUACAAAACAGAAUUGAAAACCAAAAAAAAAAACUACAACAAACAUUACAAGAAUAUUUACAUAAAGAUUAUGUAAAAAUACAACGACAACUAUACAAGAACAAUACAAAUAAACAACGACUAAAACAACCAGGCAAAAUUAGAGAGAAAAAACAAAAACAAAGAAUACAACUAAAAACCAAAAAAAAAAAAAAUAAUUAAUACAACAAACAUGUAAAAAUGAAGUAAACUUUAGAGUUUUUGUGUAAUUUUUUUCGUUUUUCUCGCCAUUUUAGUUACAAGUAAUAGGAAAAACUGCAACACAACAACAACAAAUAUUAACUCAACAGCAGCCCAGUAGUGGUGUUGUUUUAGCCACUUUAAAGGAAACUGGGAUCGAAACAACCGAUCAACAAAACAAACAAUACAUUCCUGGAAUUAAAGUAUUUAUAUUGUUUAUUUAAAUACAUUUUAAGCCGAAAUUAACAAAAAAGAAAAAACGAAAAAAACAACAAAAAAGACAAAGUCGACUUAAAAGGUGAGUAAGUUUAAGUGUAAACAAUGAGAUAAUAAGUAUUUUUUAAACACCAAACCGAAUAAAAAUAGAGGUAAAGGCAAGUUUAACAAAUGUUUAUUAUAGAUCUGGGUAGUUCAUAUUUAUAUUCCAGCGUAUAAACUAUGGUCCAGGCUAUAGACUAUCUAUAGUCCAGACUAUAGACUAUCUAUAGUUCAGACUAUAGACUAUCUUUAGUCCAGAA